GCAAACUUGGUCAUUUAGAGGAAGUAAAAGUCGUAACAAGGUUUCCGUAGGUAAGUUAGAAGAAGGCAUUCCUAACCAUAAAAUGCUUUGAAUAAUAUGCUAACAUUUUCUCUUUUUAGGUGAACCUGCGGAAGGAUCAUUACUGAGAGUAACUCUUUAUAAGAGUACCUCCCGUCCUUUGCGGGCCCCUUAGGGGCUUUUUGACUUUGCUUCGGCGGGGUUACCCCGCCGGAACACCCUCAAAAAAAUCUCGAAAACUGUUCUGUCCGAGAACUUUUUGCAAAUAUUAAAAACUUUCAACAACGGAUCUCUUGGUUCUGGCAUCGAUGAAGAACGCAGC
rnacentral:misc_RNA from 1 species